GACGAACGCUGGCGGCGUGCCUAACACAUGCAAGUCGAACGAGUGGCGCACGGGUGAGUAAUACGUGGGUAACCCUCCCUCUUUUUGGGAUAAGCUUUGGAAACCGGGUCCAAUACCGAAUAAAGGUGGAUGGGCUCGGGGCCUAUCAGCUUGUUGGUGGGGUGAUGGCCUAACAAGGCGGUGACGGGUAGCCGGCCUGAGAGGGUGAACGGCCACAUAGAGACUGAGAUGAGGCCCAGGGUCGUACGGGGGGCGGAAGUGGGGGAUAUUGCACAAUGGGCGAAAGCCUGAUGCAGCGACGCCGCGUGGGGGAUGAGGGCUUUCGAGUUGUAAACCUCUUUCGCUAUCGGAGGGUAGGUGGAGAUGAAGCGCCGGCUAACUACGUGCCAGCAGCCGCGGUAAUUC
rnacentral:rRNA from 1 species